UAUAUAACUUCUUGUAAUCAAUUGAAUAGAAGUAAAAGGUGUAAAACUAUUCUGCAUUGAUUGCAAUUCUCAAACUACUAUCUAAUAUAAAAGUAAAACAAUCAUUUUAGUAUUACAUUGUUCCAAUCCAGUUCCAAAAGGGUCACAAGAUACAUCAGCUUAGCAUACAUAUUCAUGGAAGGCAAUUAGCUUCUACCCAUUUAUAUCGUAGAUAGUU
rnacentral:lncRNA from 1 species